AUUGGUUUCUGGUUGAAGAGAUGGAGAGCUCGUUUACGUAUUAUUCACUUGAAAUGGCCGUGUAUGGAAAUUUCCGACUCUAAGACGCAGUAAUUUCAAAUUUUUCUUCAGGUUUUCCAAUUAAUGUCAGCAUGAAAUUCGGUUUUUGAUCGUUGGUUUUCUUUUAGUGUGCUUAGCUGAUUGCAUCGGACACGGAUGGAUUGAUUGACUUGAUUAUGUUUGACGCUUAAUUUGCAGAUUAAGCCCCCUCUUACUUCUCCCCUGGAUCGCUUUCUCUCUUGCCGUCGUCUUCUCUUGCUCAUCCCUUGUCUUGAGUUCAUAGAUAUCCCUGCGGAAUGUAUUAUUUGCUCUUGGAUCGAGAUGAAUCGACUGUUAAAUUCUGGAGUUUGUAGAAGUUUUUCACUCUCGAGCUUACAUGGCAAGUUGUAGCUCGAGGCUUUUGUCCCGAGUACUUAAGAACAGUCCUAACACUCAGAAAUAUGAUAAAUAACAGAAUUCAGUAGGCUUGGAGGUCCCAGAGACUACGACUUCUGCCAGGAACAAGCUAAAAUCUGAAAUUUCUCUGGAUUGGUAUUCAUCUAAGAAGAAAGGAAUUGAUGGGUAUUACUAUGAAGGCGUUAUUUGUGAUAGCUCCCCAGACCUUUCAUAUCGAGUGCCUUGAUCCUCCUCUCAAGACUCUUCAAGCUCCAAUGUUGGAAACUCCAAGAGCAGACCUGGAGAGUGUUGCUUUAAUUAUACUGGGAGGAGGUGCUGGAACAUGAUUGUUUCCACUUACUAGCAGAAGGGCCAAGCCAGCAGUUCCUAUAGGAGGAUGCUACCGGUUGAUUGAUAUCCCAAUGAGCAAUUGCAUUAACAGUGGUAUCAGAAAAAUAUUCAUCUUAACGUAGUUUAAUUCCUUUUCCCUCAAUCGCCACUUUUCCUGGACAUACAACUUUGAUAAUGGCGUUAGUUUUGGUGAUGGAUUUGUGGAGGUCCUUGCGGCAACUCAAACUCCGGGUGAAGCUGGAAAGAGGUGGUUCCAGGGGACUGCUGAUGCUAUUAGGCAAUUCAUAUGGGUCUUUGAGG